rnacentral:rRNA from 1 species
AUACAGAGGGUGCGAGCGUUAAUCGGAAUUACUGGGCGUAAAGCGCGCGUAGGCGGUUGCGUAAGUCGGAUGUGAAAGCCCCGGGCUUAACCUGGGAAUUGCAUUCGAAACUGCGCGAGUAGAGUCUGAUAGAGGGAAGUGGAAUUUCCGGUGUAGCGGUGAAAUGCGUAGAUAUCGGAAGGAACACCAGUGGCGAAGGCGGCUUCCUGGAUCAAGACUGACGCUCAGGUGCGAAAGCGUGGGGAGCAAACAGGAUUAGAAACCCGAGUAGUCC